AGAUGCGAUCAUACCAGCACUAAAGCAUCGGAUCCCAUCAGAACUCCGAAGUUAAGCGUGCUUGGGCGAGUGUAGUACUAUGAUGGGUGACCUCCUGGGAAGUCCUCGUGUUGCAUUCC
rnacentral:rRNA from 2 species